rnacentral:rRNA from 1 species
AUGUUGAAGCUCAAAUUAAUUGCCCAAUCAUACUACUCAGGAACAUCGACCCUGCUAAUGGACUAUUCAACGGCACGAGGUUGGUCAAACGUGGAUUUCAAAAAAAUACAAUUGACGCACAGAUUGUGGUGGGACAACACUCUGGAAUGCGGUUUUUCCUGCCCAGGAUACCAUUAUGCCCCUCUGACGAUGACAUGUUUCCGUUCAGUUUCAAGAGGAAACAGUUUCCAAUCAGACUCAGUUUUGCUAUGA